ACAGAGCACAGGUGAAGAGAGGAUGGGUUAUGCAGGCGCCGGCCACACAGCUGUUCCCAGGGACCCUUUAGGAGCGCUUGUACCGGCCACAGGAAACAGCAAAGGAACGGCAGCUGAAUCAGGAAAAGGGGAUUUCUAAACGGGAGUCACGUUCCUAAUGGGCUGUUCCUGCGGCUCUAGCUCAGAGGUUGUUUCUUCAGGUGUGAUCCUGAGAUCAGCAGCAGCCACCUCACUGGACACUCAUCAAGAAAGACAAACCGUCUGCCAGCCCGCCCCUGACCUGUGGAACCAGAAACUCUGGGCUUGGGUGGAGCUCACAGCCCUUGCUUAGCUUCGACCUCCUCCUCCAAACUGGGCAUAACAUCAUCCACCUGGCAGGGCCUUUGGGAGGAUGACAUGAUAUAAUACUGCUGAAAUGUGAAAGCAAAAGACUGCUUCUCUUUAGUGAAGCUCUAUUCACUGUCGAGGCUUCAGUGUACGGGGGCGCAUCCCACGGGCAUUGUCUCCAGCUGCCCGGGUGGGUUUCAUUCCAGUACUACACUCUGCUUCAGACUUACCGAGAGCCAUUCUCCAUAGCAGGACUUUCCUAUCCUCUAUUUGGGAGAUUCCUUGGUCAAUGUCUGUGUCACUGAGUCUCACUGAUUAGACAAUAGGCCCCACGAUGGGAGACACCUGGCUUUUUUUAUUCCAUUGGAUACUUAAUGACUAUAGCACAGUAUAUAAUCAGUAAAUAGUUCUUGAAUUAAUGCAUGAGAAGUCCCUGAAAAUAGUCCCUGAACUUUUUAAAUAAUCAUGCAAACAAGAUCCAAAGAAAUGUCACAAAUAUCUCUUAACUCCUUAAAAACAAUUCCAGACACCUAGAAUGGGCAAAGCAGUGUGCUAAGUCACCUUUCUUUUGAGAUUGGUCACCAAUAAAUCGUGAAGUGCCUUCCACCUCCCGCCAUGAUUCUGAGGCCUCCCUAGCCAUGCGGAACUAGCAAACUGAAAUUUAGCAGCAUUUUGAAGGCAGCCGUGGACCAGCACUGUCUGCCCCACUGUUCUUCAGCAGACACAGGCAUUAAUCCAGACCCUGAGAUUGCCAUCCUGUGAGAACACACAAAGGAAGACAUUCAGUGAAGAUGCACCCUCUUCCAGAGGUGCCCCAAAAGGGCAGACCAUGGCAGCCUCAUCUUUCUGGUUUUGAACUAGGUCCCUCUACUUGAGGGAAGUGCAAUGGAAUAGAGACAGCACCUCCCUGGGCAGCAGGGAAGCUGGCUCUAAGCCCCACGCUGGUGCCAAGACCAGCUGCCUACCUGAUGCCCCUAAUCUUCGGUUCCCUCCUCCGUGAAUUGCCGGCAUUAACUCUCCUGAAUGCUGCACCACAGGCUGCAGCUAAGCACUCUAUGCACCAAGCAAAGUUCAUGUGAACACACACAAUAUGAUGUCUGUUUACGAGACAGGAAGAGAUGCUUCGCCAGAGUGUGACCUUGCUGACACCAUGAUCUUGGACUUCCAGUCUCCAGAACUCUUCCCUUGGCUUGUGAUGCACAACUCAAAUCUCAGCUUCUAUCCCCACGUAGCUGUCUUCACAUAGUCUUCACUCUGUGGACACCUGCCUUCACGUUUUCUCCUUCUUAUAAAGACACUUGUUCUGUUGGAUUCGGGGCCCAUCUCACUCCAGGAUGACUCCAUGUUAACUUAACUAAUUACAUCUGUAACAUGAUGUAGUUUCCAAAUAAGGUUGCAUUUUAAGUUUCUGGGGUUAAGACUUCCACAUAUAUUUUUGGACGACACGAUUCAGCCCAUAACACUGGUUUUACCCUUGCAUGGACAGGGUGAUUUAUACUUUCUUGCAGUGUCUGUGUAACUUGAAGCCUUAAUUCAUUAAGAUUAGUGUGAUUUUAUUUUGUUACUCUUUUUUCAUCCACUCAUUUUCCUUUGUCACUUGAAAAAAAUAUAUAUAUUUUAAAGUUGAGACCGCAGCCAAAGCUGUAGGCAGAGCCUGAUUCUGAUGGCCCUCUGGCCCUUCAGAUGGGCAGUUUCUCAGUGGCAAUGACAAGAAACCCAGGCAGCCGCACACACACACAUGCCACAUGGCUUUGCAAUGAGUGGCAGAGGCAGGAAUAUCUUCAAAGCAUAUGGAAAGCAGGGAGAUGAGGAGGUGCGCUGGAGCCAGGACAGUGACGAGCUUCGCAGGGCUCUGGCGUGCAGGGGAGGGGACAAAAAUAACCAGCAAAUCCCUUCUCUGCGGAGAACCACCAGUGAAGAGGAUCGACAGACAAGUGACGGGAGGAAACAGGACGUGGAUCUGGGCUUGCAAA
rnacentral:lncRNA from 1 species